GUCGAACGCGAACGGGGAGGCAACUCCUCUAGUAGCGUGGCGAACGGGUGAGUAACACGUGGGUAACCUACCUCCGGGUGGGGAAUAACCCUGGGAAACUGGGGCUAAUACCGCAUAACGUUACGGGGACGCAUGUUCCGGUAACUAAAGCGGGGGACCGAAAGGCCUCGCGCCUGGAGAGGGGCCCGCGGCCGAUUAGCUUGUUGGUGGGGUAACGGCCUACCAAGGCGAUGAUCGGUAGCCGGUCUGAGAGGACGAUCGGCCACACUGGGACUGAGACACGGCCCAGACUCCUACGGGAGGCAGCAGUGGGGAAUCUUGGGCAAUGGGCGAAAGCCUGACCCAGCGACGCCGCGUGAGGGAGGAAGUCCUUCGGGACGUAAACCUCACAAGUAGGGGACGAAUAAGGGUGACCUAAUACGUCAUCCGAUGACGGUACCCUACGUAAGGGACGGCUAACUACGUGCCAGCAGCCGCGGUAAUACGUAGGUCCCGAGCGUUGUCCGGAAUUACUGGGCGUAAAGCGCGGGUAGGCGGUUCGGUAAGUCGAAUGUGAAAUCCCUGGGCUCAACCCAGGAACGGCGUUCGAAACUGCCGAACUCGAGUGCGGUAGGGGGUGCUGGAAUUCCCGGUGUAGCGGUGAAAUGCAUAGAUAUCGGGAGGAACACCGGUGGCGAAGGCGGGCACCUGGGCCGCUACUGACGCUGAGCCGCGAAAGCUAGGGGAGCAAACCGGAUUAGAUACCCGGGUAGUCCUAGCCCUAAACGAUGGGCGCUUGGUGUGGGAGGUUAGAGUCCUUCCGUGCCUGGAGCUAACGCGUUAAGCACCCCGCCUGGGGAGUACGGU
rnacentral:rRNA from 1 species